GACGAACGCUGGCGGCGUGCUUAACACAUGCAAGUCGAACGAUGAAGCCGGAGCUUGCUCUGGUGAAUUAGUGGCGAACGGGUGAGUAACACGUGAGUAACCUGCCCUUGACUCUGGGAUAACUGCGGGAAACUGUAGCUAAUACCGGAUACGACCCUCGGAGGCAUCUCCUGGGGGUGGAAAGAAUUUCGGUCAAGGAUGGACUCGCGGCCUAUCAGCUAGUUGGUGAGGUAAAGGCUCACCAAGGCGACGACGGGUAGCCGGCCUGAGAGGGUGACCGGCCACACGGGGAAUGAGACACGGCCCAGCAUCCAACGGGAGGCAGCAGUGGGGAAUAUUGCACAAUGGGCGCAAGCCUGAUGCAGCAACGCCGCGUGAGGGAUGACGGCCUUCGGGUUGUAAACCUCUUUUAGCAGGGAAGAAGCGAAAGUGACGGUACCUGCAGAAAAAGCACCGGCUAACUACGUGCCAGCAGCCGCCGUAA
rnacentral:rRNA from 1 species